UAGAUGUGUACUCGGAGAGCUGAA
rnacentral:piRNA from 1 species